rnacentral:misc_RNA from 1 species
ACACCCUCAAGCUCUGCUUGGUGUUGGGCGUCUGUCCCGCCUUCGUGCGCGGACUCGCCUCAAAGCGAUUGGCGGCUGGUACCACGGCCUGGGGUGCAGCAGAAUUGCGCUCCUUGUCCCGGGGUCUGGCUCCCAGAAGCGAACCUUUUUAACUC